UACGGGGGGGGUAAGCGUUGUUCGGAAUUACUGGGCGUAAAGGGCGCGUAGGCGGCCUUCUAAGUCGAACGUGAAAUCCCCGGGCUCAACCCGGGAACUGCGUCCGAGACUGGAAGGCUUGAAUCCGGGAGAGGGAUGUGGAAUUCCAGGUGUAGCGGUGAAAUGCGUAGAUACCUGGAGGAACAUCGGUGGCGAAGGCGGCAUCCUGGACCGGUAUUGACGCUGAGGCGCGAAAGCCAGGGGAGCAAACGGG
rnacentral:rRNA from 1 species